rnacentral:rRNA from 1 species
GAGUUUGAUCCUGGCUCAGGACGAACGCUGGCGGCGUGCCUAAUACAUGCAAGUCGAGCGAGCUUGCCUAGAUGAUUUUAGUGCUUGCACUAAAUGAAACUAGAUACAAGCGAGCGGCGGACGGGUGAGUAACACGUGGGUAACCUGCCCAAGAGACUGGGAUAACACCUGGAAACAGAUGCUAAUACCGGAUAACAACACUAGACGCAUGUCUAGAGUUUGAAAGAUGGUUCUGCUAUCACUCUUGGAUGGACCUGCGGUGCAUUAGCUAGUUGGUAAGGUAACGGCUUACCAAGGCAAUGAUGCAUAGCCGAGUUGAGAGACUGAUCGGCCGCAUUGGGACUGAGACACGGCCCAAACUCCUACGGGAGGCAGCAGUAGGGAAUCUUCCACAAUGGACGAAAGUCUGAUGGAGCAACGCCGCGUGAGUGAAGAAGGGUUUCGGCUCGUAAAGCUCUGUUGGUAGUGAAGAAAGAUAGAGGUAGUAACUGGCCUUUAUUUGACGGUAAUUACUUAGAAAGUCACGGCUAACUACGUGCCAGCAGCCGCGGUAAUACGUAGGUGGCAAGCGUUGUCCGGAUUUAUUGGGCGUAAAGCGAGUGCAGGCGGUUCAAUAAG